GGGGUGGGACUAAGCCAUGGGAGUCGUGCGCCCCCGGACGCGGGGGCGCGGCGGACGGCUGAGUAACACGUGGCCAACCUACCCUCGGGACGGGGAUAACCCCGGGAAACUGGGGCUAAUCCCCGAUAGGCGAGGGGGCCUGGAGCGGGUCCCUCGCCGAAAGGGCGCGCGGAGCUUCCCCGCGCGCCGCCCGAGGAUGGGGCUGCGGCCCAUCAGGUAGUUGGCGGGGUAACGGCCCGCCAAGCCGAUAACGGGUAGGGGCCCUGGGGGGGGGAGCCCCCAGAUGGGCACUGAGACAAGGGCCCAGGCCCUACGGGGCGCACCAGGCGCGAAACCUCCGCAAUGCGGGCAACCGUGACGGGGUCACCCCGAGUGCCGCCGUUUGGCGGCUGUUCCCCGCUGUAGGAAGGCGGGGGAGUAAGCGGGGGGCAAGUCUGGUGUCAGCCGCCGCGGUAAUACCAGCCCCGCGAGCGGUCGGGGUGCUUAUUGGGCCUAAAGCGCCCGUAGCCGGCCCGGCAAGUCCUCCCCUAAAGCCCCGGGCUCAACCCGGGGAGUGGGGAGGAUACUGCCGGGCUAGGGGGCGGGAGAGGCCGAGGGUACUCCCGGGGUAGGGGCGAAAUCCGAUAAUCCCGGGAGGACCACCAGUGGCGAAGGCGCUCGGCUGGAACGCGCCCGACGGUGAGGGGCGAAAGCCGGGGGAGCAAACCGGAUUAGAUACCCGGGUAGUCCCGGCUGUAAACGAUGCGGGCUAGGUGUUGGGCGGGCUUGGAGCCCGCCCAGUGCCGCAGGGAAGCCGUUAAGCCCGCCGCCUGGGGAGUA
rnacentral:rRNA from 1 species